GACGAACGCUGGCGGCGUGCUUAACACAUGCAAGUCGAACGGAAAGGCCCUGCUUUUGUGGGGUGCUCGAGUGGCGAACGGGUGAGUAACACGUGAGUAACCUGCCCUUGACUUUGGGAUAACUUCAGGAAACUGGGGCUAAUACCGGAUAGGAGCUCCUGCUGCAUGGUGGGGGUUGGAAAGUUUCGGCGGUUGGGGAUGGACUCGCGGCUUAUCAGCUUGUUGGUGGGGUAGUGGCUUACCAAGGCUUUGAUGGGUAGCCGGCCUGAGAGGGUGACCGGCCACAUUGGGACUGAGAUACGGCCCAGACUCCUACGGGGGGCAGAAGUGGGGAAUAUUGCACAAUGGGCGGAAGCCUGAUGCAGCAACGCCGCGUGCGGGAUGACGGCCUUCGGGUUGUAAACCGCUUUCGCCUGUGACGAAGCGUGAGUGACGGUAAUGGGUAAAGAAGCACCGGCUAACUACGUG
rnacentral:rRNA from 1 species